UGUUGGUUGACGUUACUUAUAGAAUAAGCACCGGCUAACUCCGUGCCAGCAGCCGCGGUAAUACGGAGGGUGCGAGCGUUAAUCGGAAUUACUGGGCGUAAAGAGUACGUAGGCGGUUUGUUAAGUCAGAUGUGAAAUCCCCGAGCUUAACUUGGGAACUGCAUUUGAAACUGGUAGGCUAGAGUUUUGUAGAGGGGGGUAGAAUUCCAAGUGUAGCGGUGAAAUGCGUAGAGAUUUGGAGGAAUACCAGUGGCGAAGGCGGCCCCCUGGACAAAAACUGACGCUAAGGUACGAAAGCGUGGGGAGCAAACAGGAUUAGAUACCCUGGUAGUCCACGCCGUAAACGAUGUCGAUUUGGAGGUCGUGACCUUUUGAGUUGUGGCUUUCGUAGUUAACACGUUAAAUCGACCGCCUGGGGAGUACGGCCGCAAGGUUAAAACUCAAAUGAAUUGACGGGGGCCCGCACAAGCGGUGGAGCAUGUGGUUUAAUUCGAUGCAACGCGAAGAACCUUACCUACUCUUGACAUCCAGAGAACUAUAUAGAGAUAUAUGGGUGCCUUUACAGGAACUUUGAGACAGGUGCUGCAUGGCUGUCGUCAGCUCGUGUUGUGAAAUGUUGGGUUAAGUCCCGCAACGAGCGCAACCCUUAUCCUUUGUUGCCAGCGAUUAGGUCGGGAACUCAAAGGAGACUGCCGAUGAUAAAUCGGAGGAAG
rnacentral:rRNA from 1 species